GACGAACGCUGGCGGCGUGCUUAACACAUGCCAGUCGAACGGAAAGGCCCUGCUUUUGUGGGGUGCUCGAGUGGCGAAAGGGUGAGUAACACGUGAGUAACCUGCCCUUGACUUUGGGAUAACUUCAGGAAACUGGGGCUAAUACCGGAUAGGAGCUCCUGCUGCAUGGUGGGGGUUGGAAAGUUUCGGCGGUUGGGGAUGGACUCGCGGCUUAUCAGCUUGUUGGUGGGGUAGUGGCUUACCAAGGCUUUGACGGGUAGCCGGCCUGAGAGGGUUACCGGCCACAUUGGGACUGAGGUACGGCCCAGACUCCUACGGGAGGCAGCAGUGGGGAAUAUUGCACAAUGGGCGGAAGCCUGAUGCAGCAACGCCGCGUGCGGGAUGACGGCCUUCGGGUUGUAAACCGCUUUCGCCUGUGACGAAGCGUGAGUGACGGUAAUGGGUAAAGAAGCACCGGCUAACUACGUG
rnacentral:rRNA from 1 species